UAAAGUAGUAGUAGUGUAGUACAUGCGGGGGGGCAUCAAAUGUGGAGCAAUGCUGGUGGUCGCCGCAUAUCCCUUGGAAGAUGCGGUUCCUGGCCUAACCCAAAACACAAGCAACCCACAUGUCACCUCUCUCUCUCUCCUCAAUGUGUGUAUUAGUGUGUGUGUGUGUGUGUGUGUGUGUAUAUAUAUAUAUAUAUGUUGCUGUGCCUCAAAUAGUCUUCAAAACGAUAGCUACGAACUAGAAACUCCUUCAAGCUCGCAUAUGCAUUCCUCUUUGGGCUCUAAAGGCCACCAUGGCAUUAAUGUUGGCUCAAAAGACUGGGUUUGGGGUACUAGUGGUGGCUGAAUUAUGUUGUACUACUAAUUGAUAUGUGACUGGAGGGCAGCUUAUUUUCCACAGGGCAACCUCAAUCCUUUGGCAUUUUUCAACUCUCCUUCCAUCGCUUCGUGUCAUGGAGAGUUGGAUUCUGUUUUCGUUAUCAUUUCUUCUUCUUUUUCUUCUUCCUCCUUUUUUUGCUUGUUUCUCUGGUUCAGUGUGAACAAUAAUAUAAGAUUGCCUUCUUCUAGCUAUCUGUGUAACAUGUUAGUAUUGAUUGGUAUUUAUGUCGGGU
rnacentral:lncRNA from 1 species